rnacentral:rRNA from 1 species
UGGCUCAUUAAAUCGGUUGGAAUCUACAUGAGAGUUAUUCUUCUAAAAGGAUAACCCCGGAAAAUCUGCGGCUAAUACUUGCAAAAAAGGGAGGGCAACCUUCCAGCAUUUAUCAGCUUGAGAGGAUGGCGUGGCAACACGUCUCGGUGAAUCAUGAUAAAAAUUACAGCAGAUCGCACGAGCUCGACUCGGCGACAAUUCAUUCGACUUUCCGCCCUAUCAACUUUGGAAGGUAGUGUAGUGGACUACCUUGGUUUUCACGGGUGACGGAGAAUUGGGGUUCGAUUCCGGAGAGGGAGCCUGAGAGAUGGCUACUACUUCCAAGGAAGGCAGCAGGCGCGAAAAUUGCCGAACCUACAAAGUAGGAGGCAGUGACAAUAAAUAUCGGAGGGUCAAUAGAUCCGACUGGAAUGAGAUGGAUGUAAAUAGUCCUACGAGUACCAAUUGGAGGAAAAGUCUGGUGCCAGCACCCGCGGUAAUUCCAGCUCCAAGAGCGUAUAUUCAAUUUGCUGCAGUUAAAAAGCUCGUAGUUGGGUGGGGGAGAGAGAUGGGGAGGGAGAAGGGGAACCGGAUCCUGAGCUGUUUCUUUCCAUUAUGGAGGGUAGUCUUGUAGGUGCUCUUAACUGGGCGCUUACAACGACCCCUCCCGUUGACCGUGCUUAAAUUCGCGUGUUCAAAGCAAGCAUUCUAUCGCUUGAAGAGUCUAGCAUGGGAUCAUACAAUAUGGACUUGUCAAGAUUUUUCUUCUCAUCUUCCAAGUCAAUGACAAAUAGGGGCAAGCGGGGGCAGAGGGAUUCCAUCGUUAGAGGUGAAAUUCUUAGACCGAUGGAGGACCAACAGAAGCCAAAGCGUCUGUCAAGGGUGUGCCCAUUGAUCAAGAACGAAAGUUAGGGGAUCAAAUACGAUCAGACACCGUAGUAGUCCUAACCUUAAACGAUACCGACCGGGGAUGGGGUAAGGUAUAUAAUUACACUUACCUAUCCUGUACCCUGCGAGAAAUCAAGAGUGUUUGGGUUCCGGGGGGAGUACGGUCGCAAGGCUGAAACUUAAAGGAAUUGACGGAAGGGCAAACCAGAAGUGGAACCUGCGGCUUCCAAUUCGACUCAACACGGGAAAACUUACCAGGUCCAGACAUGGGAAGGAUGGACAGAUUGAUAGCUCUUUCUUGAUUCCAUGAGUGGUGGUGCAUGGCCGUUCUUAGUUGGUGGAGUGAUUUGUCUGGUUGAUUCCGAUAACGAACGAGAUCACGAGAGGGUAGUUGGGGGGGAUUCAAAGGGAGGGGGGUUGAUAUGGGUGAAGGGGGGAGCGAAGUUGAUUUCGGUUAACUCACUCUCACUGAAUCCCUAUUCCUCUCCCACCCCACUUACUCCGACCGGGGUGUUUCAACACCCAGGAAGGUCGUGGCAAUAACAGGUCUGUGAUGCCCUUAGAUGUUCUGGGCUGCACGCGCGUUACACUGACAGAGACAAAAAGUAUUUUCGACUCUUUAACCGGGGUCAAAGCUUGACUGAUAAGUCUGGCAAAUCUUAUAGAGACUCUGUCGUGAUGGGGAUAGAUGGUUGAAAUUAGGCAUCUUGAACGAGGAAUUCCUAGUAAACGUGGUUGAUCAAACCGCGUUGAUUACGUCCCUGCCCUUUGUACACACCGCCCGUCGCUCCUACCGAUUGAAUGAAAAGGUGAAAAGAAGGGAGUUGGGGGGGUGUAUGCCUUUCUGAUGAACCUCUUUGAACCAUUUCAUUUAGAGGAAGGAGAAGUCGUAACAAG